rnacentral:rRNA from 1 species
AACGCGAAGAACCUUACCUGGCCUUGACAUGCUGAGUUCAGGCGUGGAAACACGCUGGCCCGCAAGGGCGAUCUGCACAGGUGCUGCAUGGCUGUCGUCAGCCCGUGUCGUGAGAUGUUGGGUUAAGUCCCGCAACGAGCGCAACCCUCGUGACUAGUUAAUCCCGGGCAACCGGAUUCUGGUCAGACUGCCCUGUGAAACGGGGAGGAAGGUGGGGACGACGUCAAGUCCGUAUGGCCCUUACGGCCAGGGCUGCACACGUACUACAAUGCUCACUACAGAGGGACGCAAGACCGCAAGGUGGAGCCAAUCCCUAAAAGGUAAGCCCAGUUCGGAUUGGAGGCUGCAACUCGCCUCCAUGAAGCCGGAAUCGCUAGUAAUGGCGCAUCAGCUACGGCGCCGUGAAUACGUCCCCGGGUCUUGUACACACCG